rnacentral:misc_RNA from 1 species
UUUGGGGUGUGCGAUAGCACCCAAACGUAUAUUCACAUGUUGGCUGCAGCGAGACUGCUGCCGCGUUUACGGGCGCUCUCUGCAGCGCCGGAGAAGCGACAGCUAGCAACAGCGGCCCUCGUCCUUGGGUCGUCCUUGCCUUCUGUGCCACCUUAGUGACUGCGGGCCCCGCGCAGCAGCCUCUACGCAAUGCGGAUGAUGACGGCCAACCCUCCAAUGUGAAAGACGCGCCGUCUGCGCUUGCGUUGUGGCCCUUCAUCCUCAUCGCUGCCGCGGCGAUCGCCGUCGUCACAUGGAUGGUGCUGGCCGCCCUGCAGUGGUGUCGCGCCCGCAGUCGCCGCACUGAGGACGCUGCGCGAGGCGAAGAAAUCGAGGAGAGCAUCCGUCUCGUGACGACCCGCCUGUACCGGAUACAAGAGCUGUGGCAGGCGCAUCAGCUGCGAGCCGUUUCACAGCAGCACGACUCUUGCACAGAGACGCUUCAGCACGGCCCGAUGAGUGUAAAGAUGCAAGAGUCUCGUGAACUCUCUCACCAACAGCUGCAAGUGCACAUCUCUUCAUGCAAUGCGUCUGACGAAAACGCUGAGGUGCUACUGACCCCCCAAGACCGCCGCGCCAUCAUCGUUUCACCUCCAUCACUGCCGACCGCCGCCGCCGCCGCCACCGAUUUAUCAGCAGCAUCUGCAGAAUGCAUCAGUGACCUCGAGCUAUCAGCCCGGUAUAGCUGGUGGCAGCGACUUGCUGGCCAAGCUCAAGCCGGACUCACUCAUGUCACUGUCCUCCGCAAGCGGGCUGAAAGCGACCGUGCCCCUGUCGCCCUUGAUACGCAGCACCGGAAUCAUUCCGUCGCUUCGAUCGGCGGCGUCCACACGCGUGUUUGCUGGAAUCUCAAACGCAGCCGCUUUACGUCGCUCCCUGCGCGCUCCCCAGCUGGACAUGGAACCGCCGGCAUUCCCCUUGCUGCCGCCGCCUACACAGCACCCGUCUAGCUCGUCAUCCACUCUAACGACGUGGAGCGAAUUCGAGGAGUCGCCGUUCUACCAAGUGAUCUCGACUUUUCAGUUCCCGGUCGACCUCUCGGGGGAGCCGAGCGGGGGUACGGACGAGUCUGUGCUUGAAACUAGCAGUGUAGAAACAUUGGUGGUGCAUUACCGCGGCGGCGGCGGGGCACAAUCACCGCGCGGCACAGCUGACGACUGCGCCGAGGAAGGCAUGGCUGCAAUGGCGCGGCACACAGGCGUUGCGGCGGCAUACAGACAUGUCGACCUCCACAUCCAUCUCGAAGUUGAUGAGCCGGACGAAACGCCGAUGCCGCAGCGGUGUCGUUAUGGAUGUGCUGGGGAGAAGCACCGAGGUCUCUUGCCUUCACCGACGCCGCAUUCAUGUCCGCGACGCUACUUUGAGGGUGAUGCCGCGUUCAUGAGUAAUAGUCCCGCAGUAGAGGAUAGCCGUGUAAACCUCGCAGCGGGCAACAACUCAGCUGCCCUACCAGCCACACGGACAGAGCGCCGUGCCCAUGAGACCGUGGCUGCAGCUGUUGCCGAAGGUGGCGACUUGUCGCUGGAUGCAUCUGUCUUCGCUGACGAUGCGGAGUUGCAGGGACGCUUCACCCCCAGUCGCUUAAAGAGUGCGAGGGAAUCGGGCGGCAGCCGACUUCUGCUCGUAUCUCUGCAUCCCACCGCUCUACAGUAACAGGCGCGAAACUCGCGCGUGACACGGGUGCUUCCUCCUCCGCGCACGCCAAAACCGCCACCGGCUCCCUUCCACGUCAACAGCUCCUCCACUUGACUCGCCAAGAGCGCUCUAUGAUGGCACCGUAGAACGCCAAUUCAUCGUCACCACCAACACCACUGUUACCACUGAAGUGCGUGCAGAGAAAAUCGACGGAGGAAGCGCUCGACAACUCGACAACCUGCUAAUGAAUGCUCUAUGCACAAUCUACAGCGCUCCCCCCUCCCUCCCUCCCUCCCUCCCCGGUAACACGGCGGUGCCCCUGCAGUGUCUAGUGGUACGUGCUUGUAUUUCACGCUCAGUGCAUAUGGAAGUCGUAGAUGUGAUGGAACGCCGCAGAUAACGCGCAGCAUACCCCCUGCGUCUCAAGCUUGACCCCGUGUGUACAUGUUUUCCCUUUUGCAUGUCAUCAACUUCUUUGCAUUGAACUCCGGUUGAUGUAUGCAUGGCUGUCCCUUCCUUCCCUCCCUGGGUGUACCGUGUUUGUGUGUGUACGUGUGCUUGUGUGUGUGUAGGCCACGGGCCCCUCCUGCUCUCUCUCUGUGUGUUUUUUUUUUUGCGUUUCCCCUUCUCAUCUGCUUUGCUUAUUUUGUGUAUUUGUGUUUAUUCCUCCUCCUCGCUGCCCCGUUGAGCUACUCAGGGUGGGGGUACGGAGUGCCGUCUGUCUGCAUUGACACCCUGUCACUCAGUCACUUGCACAGACACAUGUGCACAAACCAGCAGCAACGCGUAUGUGUGCGCGUAGCCUGCUUAGCCUGCGUCUUUAAUAUACUUUCCAGCGUUCCCUUUUCUAUUUCUUCUCGGUUCUGCAACGUCUCACCUGCGUUGUUAGAUGCUUGCGUUUUCAACGCAACGUCUGCAGCCGACCUCUACAUGCAAGUGAAAGUGUCACGAGCCGUUGCGUGUGUAGAGCGUCGCUAUUCCCAACGGUAGUGUCUGCGCCUUCUUGUCUCUGCACCCAUCUAUAUCUACCUCUAUAGAUGUGUUUUGGCGUACUCGUGGUGCGCUAUGCCUUCUUACCCCUCCUCCUUUUGGUCUUUCUCUGCCGUUCUCCUCUCGUCCUGCUCGUUCUCGCAUUUUUCUUUUCAUGUGUUGUGCUGAUCAG